rnacentral:rRNA from 1 species
UACGAAGGGUGCAAGCGUUAAUCGGAAUUACUGGGCGUAAAGGGUGCGUAGGCGGUUCGUUAAGUCUGUCGUGAAAUCCCCGGGCUCAACCUGGGAAUGGCGAUGGAUACUGGGCAGCUAGAGUGUGUCAGAGGGUGGUGGAAUUCCCGGUGUAGCGGUGAAAUGCGUAGAGAUCGGGAGGAACAUCAGUGGCGAAGGCGGCCAUCUGGGACAACACUGACGCUGAAGCACGAAAGCGUGGGGAGCAAACAGG